rnacentral:rRNA from 1 species
UACGUAGGGGGCUAGCGUUGUCCGGAAUCAUUGGGCGUAAAGCGCGUGUAGGCGGUCCGGUAAGUCCGCUGUGAAAGUCGGGGGGCUCAACCCUCGGAUGCCGGUGGAUACUGUCGGGCUUGAGUACGGAAGAGGCGAGUGGAAUUCCUGGUGUAGCGGUGAAAUGCGCAGAUAUCAGGAGGAACACCAAUUGCGAAGGCAGCUCGCUGGGACGUUACUGACGCUCAGGCACGAAAGCUAGGGGAGCAAACAGG